UCCCUUUUAUAUAUCUUGAGGGAAAGAGGGUUAGGGCCAGGACACCCUUAGAUAGUUGCAAACUCAAUUGGUAGACUCAGAGACUUCAAUAGGAGAACAGUCGUGCAAGGAAAGGCCCCAGCAAGGCACCACUUCUGCACGUACAGGAUUGCUGUCUCCUACUGUGCGGGGCUAAGGCGCGGCUGUUUUAGCGUCCCUGGCAACCAAUCGGAGAUGUCUGUUUUGGCAUCUGGAAGUAGCCCGCCCCGGUGGUGACGUCAGACGCCGCUCGAGGGGGUAUUUAGAAGCGCGGCGAUGGCCGCCAUCCCUGACAUGGCUGUUCCCUCCCUGACAUUAAAGGGCUGUGGACACAGCUUUUUAUUUCCACACAUGGACGAAAUCGAACACUCAGGUAUGGACCCUAUGGAACUUUGUUUAAUGGACUUCUGAUCUAUUCAUUUAGCCUCCAUAGCACUAUGCAGGCUGGAUGUUGAUGCCAGUCAUUCCAUUAUUAGUUUAUUUUUAUUUAUAUAGAUUUUUGCUGUCUUUCUAAACAGCUAUUUGAAUUGGGGUGACUGCACCUUUGCUGCUGACACCUUGAUGGCGGCGGGUAUUUCCAAUUACAUUGUGUUUGAAUCCUCUCACACCACCCCAGCCAUACUAUAUUGACCCUACGCUCCAUCUUAAAGGACCAAGGUACUCUUUCUAUUAUAUAUUUAUAUUUAUGGCUUUUAUGGCUGUUGUUGCCCUAUUUGAGGUUGCAUUGGCCUGCUUGCUUUUCAGCUGCAGCCAAUUUGAUGAUUCCUUUUACUUAUUAAUUUGGUUUCCAUUUACUAUAGCCUGGAUCUAUGUUCUGGACGGACCAGGAUUGCAUUGGCCUGUUGGGCGCAAGCAGUGGCAGUAUUCGGAUUCAUUCGAUUUUCUAUUAAAUCACAAUUUUUUUAUCUAAUGUAUGUGGAUUGAACGUGGCCCAGAUUGUAUGUCCUGUAUAGCUCCUGAUGAAGCUCUAUUGAGAGCGAAACAUGUUGGGCAUUCUUCAUACAGGUUUCGUUGUGGCUCUCUGUUGAGCCUUUCAGGUCCUUUGGGAUCAAAUCAUGUUUGUUUAAUCUUUUUUAUAAAAUUAUAUAUGCUAAACAAUAAACUGUGUUUUUUAUCAUA